AAAUUAUUUCAAAAAUCUUUUGGAAAAUCAAAAAAAUAAUCUAUCCAAUAACGACUAGAUAAAUUUUCAGAAAAGAUGCUACAUGUCUUGAUAUAUUUGAGGAAGUUUUCUUUUGCAAAAGUUGUUUACAGACAGAAAAAAAGCUGAUACUGGGCGUGUGCUACUGUUGUGGGUAGGAAGUUGAAAAGGUAGGGCAGGUACACGAAGUUAUUUAAUUUAUAUCUGUAUGCAACGAUAAACCAUUAUUAACAAAAAGCGAUUCGGAGCGAAGUACGGUUAUACAAGUUUUGAAAGUCGUAAUAUUUACGAUUUUUGUCAAAAUUUGAUAUUAAACUUAUAUAUAAAAAAAUACUACAUUAAACUUUUUUUUUUCUUUGCCGAC